rnacentral:rRNA from 1 species
UACGUAGGGUGCAGGCGUUAAUCGGAAUUACUGGGCGUAAAGGGUGUGCAGGCGGGGGAACAAGUGGGGUAUGAAAUCUCCCAGCUUAACUGGGAUAGGUUAUGCCAGACUGUUCUUCUAGAGGACGAGAGAGGGGGGUGGAAUUCCGGGUGUAGUGGUGAAAUGCGUAGAGAUCCGGAGGAACCCCAGAGGCGAAGGCGGCCCCCUGGCUCGUACCUGACGCUCAGCCACGAAAGCAUGGGGAGCGAACGGG